rnacentral:rRNA from 1 species
UACGGAGGGAGCUAGCGUUGUUCGGAAUUACUGGGCGUAAAGCGCGCGUAGGCGGCUACUCAAGUCAGAGGUGAAAGCCCAGGGCUCAACCCUGGAACUGCCUUUGAAACUAGGUAGCUAGAAUCUUGGAGAGGUCAGUGGAAUUCCGAGUGUAGAGGUGAAAUUCGUAGAUAUUCGGAAGAACACCAGUGGCGAAGGCGACUGACUGGACAAGUAUUGACGCUGAGGUGCGAAAGCGUGGGGAGCAAACAGG